UAAAUUUACAUUACCCCCCAGAAAAGAAGUGAGGCUAAACUUACGGUUUCUUCAUUUUUGAAAUACGUAUGGCUCUUUGUGACAAGUUAAGUCUCCUGGCUGCAUAAGCCGAUUACCAGUUUGUAUAUGUCUCCUCUUAAACACCAGUGGGAAAUAAUGGUUCAUGGCAGACUCUCAGAGCCAUUUUGAGACUCGGGGACAAUUAAUCCUAGGGACUUGGUUGACUGGGAGAAGUCAUUGCCUUAGCAUUUUGUUCUUAACACUUGGAGGCGAGUGACAGGAUUCCUGAGGCAGAUUAAUGAAGCCUGGCAGCAACUUCAUCCUUAACAUAAAAGUAUCUUUGGGG
rnacentral:lncRNA from 1 species